rnacentral:rRNA from 1 species
GAUUGAACGCUGGCGGCAUGCCUUACACAUGCAAGUCGAACGGUAACAGGGAGCUUGCUCCGCUGACGAGUGGCGAACGGGUGAGUAAUGUAUCGGAACGUACCAUUCAGGUGGGGGAUAACGUAGCGAAAGUUACGCUAAUACCGCAUAUUCUGUGAGCAGGAAAGCAGGGGACCGCAAGGCCUUGCGCGGACGGAGCGGCCGAUGGCAGAUUAGGUAGUUGGUGGGAUAAAAGCUUACCAAGCCGACGAUCUGUAGCUGGUCUGAGAGGAUGAUCAGCCACACUGGGACUGAGACACGGCCCAGACUCCUACGGGAGGCAGCAGUGGGGAAUUUUGGACAAUGGGCGAAAGCCUGAUCCAGCCAUGCCGCGUGCAGGAUGAAGGCCUUCGGGUUGUAAACUGCUUUUGUACGGAACGAAAAGACUCUUUCUAAUAAAGAGGGUUCAUGACGGUACCGUAAGAAUAAGCACCGGCUAACUACGUG